rfam:Canis lupus familiaris chromosome 30, whole genome shotgun sequence.
AUACUCUGGUUUCUCUUCAGAUCGUAUAAAUCUUUCGCCUUUUACUAAAGAUUUCCGUGGAGAGGAACAAUUCUGAGUCUUAACUCAAUUUUUUGAGGUCCUGUUUUUUAAGCAGGACU